GUUGAUGAUGAUAACCCGGAAUAGGAAGUGCCGUCAGAUGCGAGAACUGACGAUAACCUCCUUCUUUAUCUGAUA
rnacentral:snoRNA from 1 species